AAAUCAUUUUCCUUUGUCUUCUGACAACUUAUCUGCACAAAACCUUCAUCAUGUGUAAACAUUAUAAGAUGAUUUGUUUUACGAAAAAAACAAUCGCCUAUCCAUGACCACUUCAAAUGCCCAUCAUUAAUUUAAGCAAAUGAAUCUGAUGUUGAUGAUGACUAUUAUCAAUGGAUUAAAUGUUAGUGAUGGAAACAAGCAAAUGAAUUUUUCGCUCUACAUUUCAAAAGGCAUUCAAAUGUCUUUAGGCUGAUGAUGCAAAAGAUAGUUGCCGUUGAAAAGAGGAUCACUUUUAUUGAAUCAAAUGGAUUGAAAAUAUUGCAUCAAAAAACAUUAAAUUGCUCCGUUAACCCUGGCUUCAUUGGAAAGGUUGGCAUGUUGAUUUGAUCUUCUUGAUUAUGUGUAUAAAGAGCGUAACAGAUGAUGAAAGCAAUUGGUCUUAGCAGCGUUUACCAGUCAAAUAUAUGCGUUUUCAUUUAUUAUUAUUAUUGUAAUUUAGAACCAGCAAUAAUCGAGUUUUAUCUUUAUCAUACUUAAUGGAGGAAAGGUUCACUUGGGAUCCAAGACAAGCCAUUCAAUUAUCUCACAGUCAAAGGUCAGGUUUGACCAAGUCCCUUGUGAACCUGACAGUAACUCAUUAACACAACAGAUCAGCGUAAUCAAGACAACACAAAUGACAAUCAACCAGUUAGAUGAUAUCAUAUUUUCCCUGACAAGUAGUGACACUGACAUUUCAUGAUAACUCAAACCCAAGCCAUUGAAAUCAUCGCAUCAAUUAUCAACAAUCAAACAACAAGCUUCAUUGCUACAAGUGACUAGAACUGUUAAACAUCUAAAUUGUUAGUUGUCUUACAAUUUCUGAUGUUUCAUUCAAAUCAUUUUUUAACACUCACCAGUGAUUAAAAUUUACUUCACAAAUUAUAAGCUUUCAAAUGAAACCUUGAUCUUUAGAUUAAUUACAAUUUAAACUCAAGUGUUGCGGAAGAUUCAUCAAACCCAAGCUAACCAGCUCUAAGCAUUGAAAAUGAAAGUUUUUAAAUUCAAUCAUUUUUUCCUCAAAAAGUCAUGAUUAAAUUUCAUUUUGUUUUCAAUCUUAACAAAUAACGAUAAUCAAAUUUUAACCUAUCUAAUUACAUUGUAUGAUUUAAAUUGUAACUUGAGAUUUUGUUUCAAUUAUCAAUUUCUUUCACCUCUAAUUGAUAGUUUAUUUGAUUGCCUUGAUUGUUGCUGUUUCUGUUGGCGUUGGUGUCAGAAAAGAUUGUAAAAGUCAAUUGUUAGCAAAAAUGUUGAUAAAUGCAUGAUAAAUCAACAUAACUUUACUUCAUGGAAACAUGAAUUUACUUGAUUUUAUACCUUUAACAGUUUAACUCCUUUCUUGUAUUGUACCUUUACCGUAUUAUAAUUGUUGAUUCACCAAAGGGUCAACAAUUUUAACUAAUCAGAACAGCGACAAUUAAGAUCAACAUUACCUGGUAUCAGUGAACUUUGUUACAAUUUGUUAAAUCACUUUCUUCUCCAUUCCCUAUUAAGAUUAUCAUUUGUUUGA